rnacentral:tRNA from 1 species
CAAGCUAGAGCUUGUAAAGCAUUUUAUUUACAUUAAAAAUUAAUUGUUAAAGUCAAUGUAGCUUGA